GAUGUCCUCCAGGCCAUCCACAGGUCACAUUCUUCUCACCCCUGCUGUGGGGAUCAGCUUUGUGCAGAUCAUGCUUCAGGGGAGAUUCCAACCUCUGGAUCAGCCAGACCUCCUGUUCUAUCUAUUUGCCUCUUUGCUCUUCCUCUUCAAGCAAGCAGUGGUAGAAGCCAGAAGAAGGAAAGCAAAAAAGAAGCAACAUUCCUACUUUCUUCUGGUGAAUUGGGCCAGAGGAGGAAAAUAAGAAAAUGAAUACUGACACAACCAGCAAACAGGAAGGCUAUCCACAAAGGCAUGUCUGCUGAGGACCUUCUUGAUGGUUGCUUCCAGGAUGUAAAACUCCCUUCCACAAGGAGGAGAGGUGAACUUUCAAUGACCCUGAGAUGCCAUCCUAGAGAACUCAGGAUUGCAGCAUAUGUUUUGCAUUGUCUUUUAUGAAUAAUUAACAUUUUAUAUGUUUAGUUCAAUCAUUGCUUAAUUCCUCCAGCAUGCCUGUAUGUAAAGCUCUUUGUAAAGAAGGAACCUAUACUGGGACAAUGUCAGUGUUUUUGUCUGGAUGGUUGAUACAAUAAGAAAACGGAAGACAUUGAUUUAUAAAACCAAAGUAAUGCCUACUUCAGAGUUUCAUUUUAGAACAUUGUUAAUGAGACAAACAAAAUACCCAAGGGAUUGCUGCAUGUGGUAAAAGAAAUAAAUGUGUGUUGCAAAUGUGUUCCAAUAGUUUAUUCCCUUCUAGUUUCACUGUAAAGAUUAAAAUAUAAGGGAUUUAUUGAUAUGCUAAUACAUUUAAAAUGAUUUUAAGAUAUAUUACAAACACAUUCCUAGAAGCAUUUUUUAUUAUUCAGUUAUCACCACCUAGUUAAUAUGCAAUUAAUGCUCUGCUCUGUUCAUUCCCUCUUCAAAGCUUUGUGUAAAAGCAGAUGUUUUGAGGGUAAAGCAGCAAUAUAUGAAGCAGCUAAUAUAAUUCUCAAAAAAAUGAAUAUGCUGCACUGAAAUAGACAUUACAUUGUUUGCCAUGCCAUGUGACUCUUUUGAAAAAUACUCUAAGAAAAAAUAUUAAUAUUCCAGAAAUACACAUUCAUGAAUUAUAUAUUAUCAGAAAGUCUCCUGGAAUACAUACAACUAAAUCAUUUAGUUUCCAAACAACUCUUGUUAUUUUUCAUUGUCUUUUAAUGAAUAAAUAAUUUCUUUCCAUAUUGCAAUAUAUUCAGAUCCCUUAGCAUAAUUUCCUUUUCAAAAAUAAGCAUGGCAGAACAGUAUUAAGCUCAUUUAGUCUUCCUCCUCCUCUUUACUCCUGGUGUGAGUUAAAAUGGUCUUUGAAGGAUGCAGGAUGGUGGAACCAAUGGGAAAUGGUGUUUUGUUUCUUGGCUGAAUCAAUGGAUUAAAAAGUUUUAUUAAUGCAUGGUAUUCCACUAAGUGCUUUGGCAAAACUGCAUUUGAAAAAUUGAAGCACAUCCAUUUCUGUUAGAUAUGUUUAUCUGUGCUCCUAGGUUAAUACUGUAUAAUACAGCAAAACCUGGGUAAAUAUCUUAUUUGAAAGAGACCACUUUGGUUCCUGUUCAAUCUCUGCAUAACAAAGCAAGCCAGUAUCAGCAAGAUCAUCUGUAUAAAAGCAACAGUAACUUAAUAAAACCUCUCGUAGGCCUGUUACAGACUGCCAAAAUAAAGCUGC